ensembl:lncRNA
GGAAAUUGUUAGGUGUGCUCCGUGGUGGCUCAGAUGCAACAGCUAACUGCUCCCUGACCCUGGGCCCCCACAAAAGGCCAAUGCCACCCAUUGGUGAUACCAACUGGAACCCGACUGGGAACAGAGGGCAAGGGGCUGGAGGAGGCAGUCCUAGAAGCCAGCCUCCGGGCCUACAGAGCAGGGUGAGAAGGAUACAGAGAGGGUGUGGCCCUGGGUGGGAAAAUGGAAAUAAUCAGUACAAGUACUUACUGCUCAGGGGUGUGGGCUGAAUGGGGUUCCUCCAAAAUUCAUAGGCGGAGGUCCCAGUACCUCAGGAUGUGACUGUGUUUGGAGAUAGCCUCUUUAAAGAGGCAUUUAAGUUAAAAUGAAGUCAUUAGUUUGGGCCGGAAUCCAGUGUGAUGGGGUCAUAGCAGAGGACACGGACUCACACAAAGGGAAGAGCGUGUGAAGCACGGGAGAUGACGGCUGCCUCCAAACCCAGGAGAGAGACCUCCGCAGAAACUAACCCUGCCAACACCUUGAUCUCUGACUUCCAGCCUCCAGAACCGUGAGACAAUAGAUUUCUGUUGUUCAAGCCGUUUGUCCAAGCCAGUCA